AUGGGAGACCAGGAAAAGCACCUGGCUCCUGGCUCCUGGCUCCUGCCAUCGGAUCAGCGCGGUGCGCUGGCCGCAGCGCGCCGGCCGCGGCGGCCAUUAGAGGGUGAACCAACGGCAAAGGAAGACCUUUCUCUCUGUCUCUCUCUCUCACUGUCCACUCUGCCUGUCAAAAAUAAAAAAAUAAAAAAUAAAUUAAAAAAAAAAGGAAAAAAAAAAAAGCCGACAGGGAGGGUGCGGGAAGCCCUGGCCCUGCAGGGUUGGGGGCAACAAGGGAACGGGGCACGUUCCACCCUCACGUGUGGCCCACGCCUGCGCCCUGUCUCCUGCAGACGCCUGUCACCACCACCCAACCCCAGAUGCUGCACACCAUGGGACGGGCUGGUGGCUGGGGUGCAGUGGCGAGCUGUGCCCCGCAGCCUCUGGUGGGGUGAGGAGGGCCACCCCUCCUCCUACCCCAGGGCUCCCGCUCUCUCCCAGCCACCUGUGCCUCAGUCUCCGCUCCCGGCUCUGGGCUCAGCGAGCCGCAGAGGGGCCAGGCACACAGGGCAGGGUGCCCGACCCUCCUCCAGGCACCCAAGUCAGUGCGAUGGGUGCGGGGGGAAGGGCUGCCCAUGCUCCCAUGGCCAGAGCAGAGCUCCGGGGCGUCCAGCGCAGCGCAGCCAGCCAGUGCCGACAGCGCACCUCCCCUGCGCCAGCAGCACGCGGACACAGUCCCGUGCACUCCCCGCCCCGGGGAGCCCCUUUUCUGAGGGCUCAACUCCGCGGGAACAGAGCGUGCUUUCCCAGCACUCUGUCUGCACCACGUUCAGGACGGACACACGCUCUCUCCAGAAGGCCAGCGGGGGGGCAGAGAACAGCCAGCUGCUCCUGCUGCACUGGACCCCCUGCCGCCCAGCGCACCACACGCAGGCAUCUCGCUGUUCCGAGCUGAGCCAAUCACCCGGGGGGACCCAACAUCCCAAGGGGGAGUCUUGGCUCCCCAAAUCCCAGGGCUGCAUUCUGCACUGCUCCGGGGAGGGGUGGGGGUGGGGGCGGGAACGGGGCGGGGCAGCCGGAGCCUGCACCUGCUGUCACAGCAGGCCGGGAGCAUGGUGGUCCCCAUGGUGGGGACUGGAGAACUCCCCUGCACCUGCCACACCACCCAGGAGUCUGACUACACAGCCUCUAGCUGCGCAAGCCCCAGUGAGCCAUGGAUCUGACUCAUCAGGUAACCAACACUCAGGCACAAAGCAGUUUCCUUAG
rnacentral:lncRNA from 1 species